AUUGAACGCUGGCGGCAGGCCUAACACAUGCAAGUCGAACGAGUGGCGGACGGGUGAGUAAUGUCUGGGAAAAUGCCUGAUGGAGGGGGAUAACUACUGGAAACGGUAGCUAAUACCGCAUACCAUCAGAUGUGCCCAGAUGGGAUUAGCGAGUUGGUGGGGUAACGGCUCACCAAGUCGACGAUCCCAAGCUGGUCUGAGAGGAUGACCAGCCACACUGGAACGGAGACACGGUCCAGACUCCUACGGUAGGCAGCAGUGGGGAAUAUUGCACAAUGGGCGCAAGCCUGCUGCAGCCCUGCCGCGUGUAUGAAGAAGGCCUUCGGGUUGUAAAGUACUUUCAGCGGAGAGGCGUUACCCGCAGAAGAAGCACCGGCUAACUCCGUGCCAGCAGCCGCGGUAAUUC
rnacentral:rRNA from 1 species